AUUGAACGCUGGCGGCAGGCCUAACACAUGCAAGUCGAACGAGUGGCGGACGGGUGAGUAAUGUCUGGGAAACUGCCUGAUGGAGGGGGAUAACUACUGGAAACGGUAGCUAAUACCGCAUACCAUCGGAUGUGCCCAGAUGGGAUUAGCUAGUAGGGGGGGUAACGGCUCACCUAGGCGACGAUCCCUAGCUGGUCUGAGAGGAUGACCAGACAAACUGGAACUGAGACACGGUCCAGACUCCUACGGGAGGCAGCAGUGGUGAAUAUUGGACAAUGGGCGCAAGACUGAUCCAGCCAUGCCGCGUGUGUGAAGAAGGUCUUCGGAUUGUAAAGCACUUUAAGUUGGGAGGCGUUACCCACAGAAUAAGCACCGGCUAACUUCGUGCCAGCAGCCGCGGUAAUUC
rnacentral:rRNA from 1 species